rnacentral:rRNA from 1 species
CAUCGUUUUUUGAUUAAAUAUUUAAGAUUUAGCCUGCCCAAUGAAAAUUAAAUGGCCGCGGUAUUUUGACCGUGCAAAGGUAGCAUAAUCAUUAGUUUCUUAAUUAGGAGCUGGAAUGAAUGGUUGGACGAGAAAAUGACUGUCUCUAUAUAAUUUGAUAGAAUUUUAUAUUUAAGUUAAAAAGCUUAAAUUUUUUUAAUAGACGAGAAGACCCUAUAGAGUUUUAUUUAUCCUUUAGUUAAAUUUAAUUAGAAUUAAGUUUAUUAAUUAAUGUGUGAAUUUGGUUGGGGUGAUUAAAAAAUAAAAUAAACUUUUUUUAUAUAUUAUUAUUAAUUUAUAUGUAUUUGAUCCAUUUAUUAUGAUUAUAAGAUUAAAUUACCUUAGGGAUAACAGCGUAAUUUUUAUGGAGAGUUCUUAUCAAUAUAAGAGUUUGCGACCUCGAUGUUGGAUUAAAAUUAAUAAUUGGUGGAGAAGCUGAUUAAUUAAGUCUGUUCGACUUUUAAAAUUUUACAUGAUCUGAGU